GCAGCUGAACUGAAAGUCAUGUCAAGGUUAGAGCAGUUUUAUUGAUUGAUUAUAGGGCUUGGGUGCCAUGAAUGGCAUGGCUAGUCCGUCAGGACUAUCAAUACGUGGUAAAAAAAGUUUCGCUUUGUAUUUAAAGAUUGCUUUCUCCAAUCAGCAGUCGAAAAUCUUUAAAAAUCCAGCCACGUAAAAGCAAUUAACAGCUUCAAUUUUUGUGUGCUGCAACUAGUUUUGCAGCUUCUUUUAUUUACUUAUUUACAAAGUAGAGUGCGAAACUUUUAACGCACCGAUCGAUAUGAGCCGAAGGACUUGGAAGGACGAGGCACGUGGGCGGAGAACCAGCAGGAGGCGACUUCUCAAAGGUAAAUUAAGGUGUGCCUCCUUUUUGCCGCGUGCUUGUCCUUUGCCGAAGGUGUGGGUGUGGUUGUUGCUGGGUGGGUGGCUUUCUGGUUGCCUGCGGUGUGCUUAAACAUAAGAACACUUUGUGCGGCAGGGCCAAAUUAUAUGGCACAGCCGUCCGCCGGAUGGCCAAGUCGAGUCGGGCCAACGUACUGCUGCCCACCUAAGAGUGGUUGGAAACAAGGUUACCUGGUACGCACCACGCGGCGAAAACAGAGAAAAAUGUCUUCAAGGCACGCGAGCCAAGCGGACCACAAGUAACCGAGAAAACGAGCCUCGUCAGGCGCCCACAAAAGACCAAACAAAGCCCAGGCACACAAAACACAGCCGAGAAAAUGAUGGAAAUGUGGAAAAGUGGAAUGAAAACAGUCGAACUUCUUUAGCGCAAACAGCAUUAUAAUUAUAAUAUAGUGCAACUUGUUCUUGGACUUAAAGAAAACCAGUUGAAAUCAUCAUUUCAAAAAAAUCAAUUGUCAUUUAUGUCAAAGCAAAAAAUAAUUUAUGUUUAUAAAGUCAACUGCGGUUAAAAUGAUCAUGACAAGUUAAAACUGCACUGACGAUUUGAGGUAUACAGCAGUCCCAAUUGAAGACUCACUUGAUGCGCUUCGUCAUUACGCCUUCUACCGUUCACAGUGGUGUGUCAUCAAAUGGAUGUUUUGUUAAAUAUACAAAAUUAAUUUAUAGAACAUAUGUGGUUUUCACCAACUUCGUCUUUAAAGUACCCAAUUAUUUGUAAAUAAUGUACCAAUAGAUUGUAACUUUUGUCGGAUGUGCCAAAAAAAAGAUCAUAUUCAUACUUUAAAAUACAUAGUUUAAUGUGUUUAAUGUUUCGCCAGAGCUACGCAAGUAACUGGUUGGAUACUAAAAGCUUAGUAAGUUGUUAGGGUAGCUUUACUGUUGAGCGGGCUUACAUGCAACGUCAAUUUGCGCAGCAGUUAAGCUUAAUACAAAUUUAAUUUACAGCUAAUUGUUUGACCCGAGAGAUGUGCCAUCAUUUGUCAUUUUGCGAAAUGGAGCCGCCUAAGCGAUUAAUUAAUUCUCCGCAGCAAAAUGGAGCAAACAAUUGAAAAUCGACACUGGAAGGUGGCCGGAAGUCAGCGGAAAGUCCCGAGUGGCCAGGAUCAGGAUGCCGGAGCCUCGAGGGCGAUAAAAAAUGAGGAUAGAAUAAACUUCAAAGCGCGACCAUAACGAGCACGGCAAACAAGCCAACCAACCAGACUGCAGCACAUUAAUUGCGUACCUUAAUGUUUAUUUUCAAUUAAGCAUUCAGUCGUGCCCAGAACGAGUGCUCUGAGUCUGGAGUAUGAUGUCCUACGCCUUUUGGCAAUUAGACGGCGGGCAGGACUAGUCUGGCAUCUGGCAUCUGUUUGGAAGCAAGCGAGCCACAACCACUCUUUAGCCACCGCCGAGCAAGAAAAAUAAAAACAAACACAGCACUUGUAAAACAUAACGCUGCGCCUUUCGGGGCUGGUUUUGCCCAAGGUGAACCCCGACCACCAACCAACCAAACAUCCACCCACCCACCACCACCACCACCUCACGCCCACCCAACCCCUGCUGGUUACAUUCUAUCGAUUUUUAUAACAUGUGAAAUUCGUGUGGGCAUUUUUGAAUAUCUUCUCGCAGUUCCUGGGUAACAAGAACUAACGCUAACUGCUAUCAAAUACUUCUCUGGCCUAAUUGGAUUGCUAUGACCGCAACCAGUUUUUCCAAUGUCCUGCCGGGAGCAAAACCCCUUCUUCCCAUCCUCGCCACCACCCUGUCGCAGGAGGUUUAAAAUAUAUUUCCCUUAAAAUAUUUCCGCUGCCAUCCAACUUGAUGGGUUCAUAGUGCCGCCGAUCCUUUCUGCGCGAUAUUGACAGCGUGAUAGACAGCAGGAUGCCUGCCAGAAGGAUUUCGGUUUGUUGUUGCUGCGCCUGUCAGUGGCAGUGUCUGGAUUUUUGUCAUGGGGCAUGGCAUGGAACAUGGCAUGGGGCUUUCACAAGCUUCCUCAGGGCGCAACGUUUGACGGCAGUCGCAGCCACAUCCACUGCGAAUGGGAUUCCAAAGGGGGAUUCGGCAACCCGCUGCGCCAAAGUUCAUUUCGGAGCUGAGACGACGCAGCAAGUGGCGGCCCAAAGGUAAACAAGGUAUGAUACGAACUGAAGAACUGCUCCUUACACCGCGAUUUAUAUGAGCUGAAGGUGCAACUACAUGAAAAGUCAGUACACUUUGCAGUAACGGAUAAGAUUUCUGCUUGAAGUCUGCUCAUGGCAUGUGGCUGAUAGGCAUGUGAAUAUUUAAGUUUAUUGACAUAUUCAGAUGGUGCGGAAAGAAACGUAAGGGAUUGCCGAAAAAAGUAAGGGAAGAAUAUGAUGAGAUUCAGAAAAACAAAAACUUAAUUGACAGCUACAAAUUUCCCAGCGGAUAACCCAAGUUGAACUGAAGUUUGAUUAAUAAUGGCAGAGUAAGAGAUUAAUGAUUACGUGUCCAUGUCAGCCUAUUAAUAUUGUAUUCAAUAAAUAUACGAUGCAUACUUUUGACAGUACGAUUUUUGCCAAGCUUAUUAGCUUUCAAAAUUGAAAGCCGUAAUAUAAAUUCAAGUAAAUACGAUAUUCUGCUUGUUAAAAUCAGAUACUAUUCAGAUACAUUGUCCGUGCGAUUUCGGACAGAUCCGUACCCAAGUGCAGCCCGCAUUGUGAAUUUAGAAAGGCAACCGAGCAUAAGCCCCUGAAAAUGUUUGCAAUUGAUUGCGCUCUUUAUGCUGGAGUCGACAAGUCAGCUGACAGCUGACACGGAGUGUCACAGCCAAGGACGAAGGACGAAACGCAAGGAAUUCAGGACCAAGAAGGGUAACAUGAGACGAUGCCUCGUUAGCGCGGAUAUACCAGCGGAGAAGUCGUGGGAGUUGCGAAAGGUAAAGAGUUAAGGAUGAUGAUGAAGUGGGUCUGUAAUUCCCCAACCGAUAUGAAAUUUUAUCAGCGAAAGCUGUGUGGGUGGAAAAGCCCGCCAGCAGCCAGUAUUGGAUUACCCUUUAAUUUAACUGAAUUUUAUAACAAGUUGAACUCGUGCACUUGCCCCGUCCCAAAAUAUAACUAAUUGCUAAUUA